rnacentral:rRNA from 1 species
CACAAGCGGUGGAGUAUGUGGUUUAAUUCGAUGCAACGCGAAGAACCUUACCUGGCCUUGACAUCCCGGGAAUUUCCUGGAAACAGGAGAGUGCUUUCAUUAGAGAGAACCUGGAGACAGGUGCUGCAUGGCUGUCGUCAGCUCGUGUCGUGAGAUGUUGGGUUAAGUCCCGCAACGAGCGCAACCCUUGCCUUUAGUUGCCAGCAGUUCGGCUGGGCACUCUAAAGGGACUGCCGGUGUCAAACCGGAGGAAGGUGGGGAUGACGUCAAGUCCUCAUGGCCUUUAUGGCCAGGGCUACACACGUACUACAAUGGCCGGUACAAAGGGCAGCGACACUGCGAGAUGGAGCGAAUCCCGAAAAGCCGGUCUCAGUCCGGAUUGGAGUCUGCAACUCGACUCCAUGAAGUUGGAAUCGCUAGUAAUCGUGGAUCAGCAUGCCACGGUGAAUACGUUCCCGGGCCUU